ACGAAAACAAAGUUCACCUUGCAAGUGAUGUCGUUUGUCCUGCUCUCACCUCUUGUGGUUGUCCAUUAGACGACAUGACCUUAGUAAAUUUGUCUCGUACAUUCUGUACGGUUAUUUACCAUUUAGUCCCAGUAUGUGGAUAGUCUCACCUUAGUCCAUAAGUAAAGCAGAGGAGAUCCAGUAUGUACUGUAUGUACAACAAAACAUUUGUAAAGUGCCAUAUUUUUCUUUGAAACCCAGGUUCUUGAAGUUCAGACUUUUUAAACAACUGGUUUUGUAUGUGGUUAUUAUUAAUGUUUUUUCCAAAAUCUUUACUGAUCUCAAGGUUUUUGAUGGUGCACUUGUGCAAGUGUUCUUUUGGAUAAACGGUUAAAUAGUCAAUAUACACUGCUCAAAAAAAAAAAAAAA